CCUCCUUUUCGACGACCCCAGGUCCGCCCUACCCUCGCCGGCGGUCCCGAAUUCCAGGCGGCGCUCGUGGAAAGCCCCGACGGGAGCUGCGCGCGGGGCGCUUCCCGGUAGACGACGACGCGUCCACAAGCUACUGCGCGGCGUUUUCCAUGGAGAGCCUGCAGUCGCCGCGCUUCCUCUCCCCCAUCCAACAGGGAAUGCGUACCAGGCCGCGCGAACACUCUCCAACUUGUGGAUCCUUUCUUCAAUAGGAGGCUGACAAGGCAGCUCGUUGUACUACAUGUCUACAUGUCCUCAUCGAAGGACCUGAAUGCGGUCGAGUUUUUCGGAUGGGUGCCAGAGAUGCACUAAAGUGGUCGAUACCGGGAGCUCCUGUCUCCACCGACGGCCUCAACCCUCCAGUGACUACGACAACAGCACAUUUUUGCAAGAUAUUGUUAGCUCCUCGAACAAUUAUCUCCAGUAUUGCUUCCUGGGGGACUAACUGGCUGUACAAAGCACUGGAGAAAAUGCUAGCGAUGGUCAGAAGAUAUAGUUAUUGGAGAAAACAAUGUGAUUCUAGUCAUUAUACGGUCGGCGGAAAGGAGCUAGCGUCCAAGACACGACAUGAUUGUGUUAGUCAGGUGUGUUCUUUACCUGGGUAGCUAAGUUGGUGGAGCUAUCACUGGCGUCUUUUUGGAAAUAAAAUGUAAUUUGUGGCUCUAAA